ACACACACACACACACACACACACACAUAUACAUACAUAUAUAUAUAUAUGUGUGUGUGUGUGUGUGUGUGU
rnacentral:miRNA from 1 species